AAUCUGUGGUACGAGCAUUUUUGAAUCAAUAUUUUGAAAUGUUCCCACGCCUCAUAGAAGCUUUCUCCCUACAUCUGUCCAAAGAUAGCAAUCUCUUUUCUUAGUUG
rfam:Gossypium arboreum cultivar AKA8401 contig_4760_5, whole genome shotgun sequence.